CCUGCCUCUAGAAGUGUUGCAGAUGUGGCUACUGUGUCACAAGUGCAGUAGGUGGCAGAGAGGAAAGAGGCUAUGCCUAUGCUCAGCAUAAGAUAACUUAUGAACAUCUGAAAGAUUAGUAGCCUAAUAUU